rnacentral:misc_RNA from 1 species
AGAAGCUUCACUCUGCUUGCAAAGACUGGGGUUUGUUUCAGUUAAUAAACCAUGGAGUUUCAGAUGCAACACUGGGAAACAUUAAGAAGCAAACUCAAGAAUUCUUCGAACUUCCCUUAGAAGAGAAGAAACUCUGGGCACAGAAACCAGGAACUCUUGAAGGCUAUGGCCAAGCAUUUGUAACCUCAGAAGAACAAAAGCUUGAUUGGAAUGACAUGAUCUUCCUCAAAGCUCUUCCCAUUCAAAACAGAAAAUUGGAAUUCUGGCCAGAAAAACCUCAAAAAUUCAGGGAAACCGUACAGAACUAUUCAGAAGAUAUCAGGCAGCUUGCAGUUUCUAUAACAAAAUUCAUGGCCAUGGGGCUUGGGCUUAAUGAUCAGGCUCAGGAAUUCUCUCAGAGUUUUCAAGAAGG